CCUACGGGUGGCUGCAGUGGGGAAUAUUGGACAAUGGGGGGAACCCUGAUCCAGCCAUGCCGCGUGUGUGAAGAAGGCCCUCGGGUUGUAAAGCACUUUCAGUGAGGAAGAACGCCUGGUGGUUAAUACCCAUCAGGAAAGACAUCACUCACAGAAGAAGCACCGGCUAACUCCGUGCCAGCAGCCGCGGUAAUACGGAGGGUGCGAGCGUUAAUCGGAAUUACUGGGCGUAAAGCGCGCGUAGGUGGCUUGAUAAGCCGGUUGUGAAAGCCCCGGGCUCAACCUGGGAACGGCAUCCGGAACUGUCAAGCUAGAGUGCAGGAGAGGAAGGUAGAAUUCCCGGUGUAGCGGUGAAAUGCGUAGAGAUCGGGAGAAAUACCAGUGGCGAAGGCGGCCUUCUGGACUGACACUGACACUGAGGUGCGAAAGCGUGGGUAGCAAACAGGAUUAGAUACCCUGGUAGUC
rnacentral:rRNA from 1 species